GACGAACGCUGGCGGCGUGCUUAACACAUGCAAGUUGAACGAAGUACUAGGAGUUUACUCUUGGUAACUUAGUAGCGGACGGGUGAGUAACGCGUGAGUAACCUACCUUUGUGAGGGGGACAACAGCUGGAAACGGCUGCUAAUACCGCAUAAGGCCACAGUGUCGAGUGACACAGUGGUAAAAGAUUUAUCGCACAAAGAUGGACUCGCGUCCCAUUAGCUAGUUGGUGAGGUAACGGCCCACCAAGGCAACGAUGGGUAGCCGACCUGAGAGGGUGAUCGGCCACACUGGAACUGAGACACGGUCCAGACUCCUACGGGAGGCAG
rnacentral:rRNA from 1 species